UUACCUAUAAAUGCUCACUUGGUCUUGAAGAUUUUUAUUUAGCGGCCAAAUUUAAAAGCAACAAGACCAUGUUUUCGAAAAAAAUACUUGCAGUUUUCCUCAUAACAGCUCUUAUCGUGACUUUUGUUGAGGUCGAGGCCCAAUUGGGGGGUUUGAAGGAUGCAGUCGAUCUUGCGUCGGACUCCGCCGGUUUAGCUGGCAAAUUUGGGGAAUUAUUCUUGAAUCCUGCUACUAUUUUCUCCGAGGGGAUACCUGAAACAACCAACGAUCUGAUGAAUAGAACUGAGAAUGUUCUUGGUGAUAUCCAAAGCGUGGCAAAUGAUGGUUUCAAAACUGUUGGGCUGGAGGAUGAGUAGGACUACAACUAAACGAAAUUUUUGGUUUUAAAGAAACAUGUUGGACUGUAGGUCUAUUAAAUACAAUGUAAUUGGAAUAAAACUUAAGCUUGUAUGGCA
rnacentral:sRNA from 1 species